UUGUGCAGAUAAUUACAAUUUUAUUCAAUUGUUGAUCCCUAAAACAUUCUUAAAUUACUACCCAUAAUCAUCCUGAUCAGAUUAAAUAUUUACCUUUAAAUUUUGCAUCUCAAUAUCUAAACAAAUAUUGAUAAAACAUUGAACCUGGCACCACUGAUGUAGACUUUGUUUUGGUUGUCAAACGUGAAGAACGAAAAAAAUUGCGGUCCAGCAAAUUUGUGCGCUAUUUCGCCGGAUUCGCGCGGAUCGUAAUUUUCAACACAGUCCGGGAGACGGAACGAAGUUUAUUCAGCAAUCGCAAUGUUCUGUGAGCGGUUAUGCUACAUCUGCCGCUAGUUCCAGUCAGGGACUAGACCGAUCUUUGAAGCGGCUGAAAGAAGAUGUAAAACGCUCUGGAAGAACUUUACGCCGAGAUCUGAAAGAUGUUCCGGAGGAAAUCCGUAUUAACCGUUCCGCUUCCAGCGCUCAAUCUUGACUGGUUAUUCCUUGUUGCGGUCACCUAGUUCCAGAAGACCUUCCCGAGGUGCUCUGGUCCAGGAGUAAUGGGAAACAUUGAACAGCAUGAACGCAGCAAUGGACAUUUCCCACUACAACGCCCUUCUUCGGGUGUAUAUGGAUAAUGAGCAACGGAAUUUCUGGCGGAUUUGCAGGCCAAGGGCGUUGAACCGAAUCGCGUCACCUAUCAGCGAUUAAUUUCGCGCUACUGCCAAGAGGGAGCAAACAAGACUCUGGAAUUCCUGCGAGAGCUGCUUCCAGUAAUUGAAUGCGUUUUCAACGCUGAGCCAGGAUAAUUUGUUUUACGCUACGUAUCGAUAUAGAGCGGCGCGGAAAAACGACAUUCAAUAAAAUGUUGCAAUUAGAAAA